rnacentral:misc_RNA from 1 species
AGACAAUAUAAAUUUUAGAAGUCGACUGGAAUAAGAAUUUUUAAUUCCUAGAGACUUAAGGGUGGAAAGAUAUGUUUUAAAUCAAUAGACCCUAGUGUGAUUUCUCAAGGUAUAUUAUGGGAAUCAAAUUGUAACAAAAUCUCCUUCCAACAGACUGUUUUGAACAACAGAAAGUCAAGAAACGUUUAUAAAUGAAAAACAAUCAAUUAAGGGGAGAGCAAGAGAAGGAGAGACCCAAAACCCAUUUGUCUCCUUUCUCCAGUAAAUUAACAUCAUCA